rnacentral:rRNA from 1 species
GAUGAACGCUGGCGGCGUGCCUAAUACAUGCAAGUCGAGCGAACGGACGAGAAGCUUGCUUUUCUGAUGUUAGCGGCGGACGGGUGAGUAACACGUGGAUAACCUACCUAUAAGACUGGGAUAACUUCGGGAAACCGGAGCUAAUACCGGAUAAUAUUUUGAACCGCAUGGUUCAAAAGUGAAAGACGGUCUUGCUGUCGCUUAUAGAUGGAUCCGCGCUGCAUUAGCUAGUUGGUAAGGUAACGGCUUACCAAGGCAACGAUGCAUAGCCGACCUGAGAGGGUGAUCGGCCACACUGGAACUGAGACACGGUCCAGACUCCUACGGGAGGCAGCAGUAGGGAAUCUUCCGCAAUGGGCGAAAGCCUGACGGAGCAACGCCGCGUGAGUGAUGAAGGUCUUCGGAUCGUAAAACUCUGUUAUUAGGGAAGAACAUAUGUGUAAGUAACUGUGCACACCUUGACGGUACCUAAUCAGAAAGCCACGGCUAACUACGUG